rnacentral:tRNA from 1 species
GCCUUUGUGGUGUAACUGAAACACGUCUGGCCAGGAAUCAGGAGGUCCAGAGUUCGAAUCUCGACUAGGGCA